UUGGCUACACAUUGAUGUUUUGUCUUGGUCUGGGAAUACUUUGCGGUGCUAUUGGCUACCUAGGAUCAACUCUUUUCGUGAGGAGAAUCUACAGAAACAUCAAAUGUGAUUAAUUUCCUGCUACACAUGUGGGGUGGGGGUGGAGCAGUAUCAGAUCAAAUCAUAUACGUGGAAGCGAGGCCUUCAGAAUUGAUUAAUGCUAGUUCCUGAUUAGGGUUUCAGAACUACGUCACGUUUGCUUAUUCCAUCACACCCCUUCUUUUUGCAUACUUAUUUGUUCCCUGGAGCUGCUCUCAUAGUGUAUACAUCUAUGGUAGCUGAGUUCAGUACAAGUGGAUGGUGCAGGUUCUUAUUUUUCUUUGUUUCUUGCCUUUUUUUUGUUGCAUUCCUCCUUUUCAAAUGAGAAAGAAAUAGGAAGUGAGUAUCCAUGCGGCAAUGUCUGGACUUCCCCUCUGAAUCGUUACAUCCAAUUUAAGGAUGGCAUGUACUACGUGAGAUCUGUGUAUUUAUAUACAUAUAUCAACAUUUAAUGCAUGAGAGUGUAUAUGUGUGUCCUCUUAUCAUGUUCGAGAAAAACGG
rnacentral:rRNA from 1 species